rnacentral:rRNA from 1 species
GGGAUUGCCUCAGUAACGGCGAGUGAAGCGGCAACAGCUCAAAUUUGAAAUCUGGCCCCUUCGGGGUCCGAGUUGUAAUUUGUAGAGAGUGUUUCGGGUGAGGCCACGGUCUAAGUCCAUUGGAACAUGGCGUCAUAGAGGGUGAGAAUCCCGUAUGUGACUGUGGCUCGAGCCCAUGUGAAGCCUCUUCGACGAGUCGAGUUGUUUGGGAAUGCAGCUCAAAAUGGGUGGUAAAUUUCAUCUAAAGCUAAAUAUUGGCUGGAGACCGAUAGCGCACAAGUAGAGUGAUCGAAAGAUGAAAAGCACUUUGGAAAGAGAGUCAAAAAGUACGUGAAAUUGUUGAAAGGGAAGCGCUUGCAACCAGACCUGUCCGUAGGUGAUCAGCCGCUGUUCUCAGUGGUGCACUCGCUCUGCGAUCAGGCCAGCAUCGGUUCGGGCGGCCGGAUAAAGGCCUUGGGAAUGUAGCUUCCCUCGGGAAGUCUUAUAGCCCUCGGUGCAAUGCGGCCAGCCGGGACCGAGGACCGCGCUUCGGCUAGGAUGCUGGCGUAAUGGUUGUAAGCGACCCGUCUUGAAACACGGACCAAGGAGUCUAACAUCUAUGCGAGUGUUUGGGUGUCAAACCCAUGCGCGGAAUGAAAGUGAACGGAGGUGAGAACCCUUAAGGGCGCAUCAUCGACCGAUCCAGAUGUCUUCGGAUGGAUUUGAGUAUGAGCAUAGCUGUUGGGACCCGAAAGGUACGUUCGAAUUCCCCCCUUCCCCUUGAUGUAUAUAGAAAUUAAGCUAACUUGUCCGACAGAUGGUGAACUAUGCCUGAAUAGGGUGAAGCCAGAGGAAACUCUGGUGGAGGCUCGCAGCGGUUCUGACGUGCAAAUCGAUCGUCAAAUUUGGGUAUAGGGGCGAAAGACUAAUCGAACCAUCUAGUAGCUGGGUCCUG